ACUGUGAGAUCAUGACCUGAGCUGAAGUCUGACACUCAACCGACUGAGCCACCCAAGUGCCCCGCCCCCGCCCUUCCCCAUCAACUUUCAUACUGUGAUUCCAGCAUUUUAUAAUGAUCACUGCCUGCAUUCAUUGUUUCGUGCCGCUUGCAGAUGACAAGUUUUCUGAUUCUAUCAUUCUCUUAGCUUCUAUUAGCUGGAAUUCUUCUAUAAAGGAAGACUUUCUGAAAUACAGCUGGUCCAGUAAAGGUUAUGGGACAGAACCAGAGUACACCUCUCUCCCUUCUUCUAGCUAAUUUCAAGGAUGUCCGGGCUGGAAGAGGGGAGAGAGGCCAUAACCUAAGCCUGGACAUCCGCCGGUCGAGACUCUUCACUUUCUGCUGGUCUGAGUGGCCCACUUUCGGGGUGGGCUGGCCUACUGAGGGCACUUUUUGUUUGCCUAUAGCUGCCAAGGUCAGGGCCACCCAGACCAGGUUCCCUACAUCCCCGUCUGGAAAGAUCUUGUUGAAAACCCUCCACCCUAUCUUCCCCCUCCCCUUGCACCCCAGGCCCUGUCCGCAGCGGCCGCCCCACCUGUUGCCCCGCUGGUUGCCCCUCAAGGGGAACCGGGGGGGGGGGGGGGCGGGAAGCGGCAGCUGUGCCAGAACCAGGGAGGCUACAGGCAGCAGCCGUGCCUAGCCCUAUUAAAAAUGAAACCAACCGUGAAGGGCCAGUCGGCCAAACUCGCGGGCGCACCCAGUGUGAGCCAAGCUCUCGCCUCCCCCACUCCACUGUAGCCUUACCCCUGCGGGAAAUAGGACCCCCCGAUGAAACGGGCAAUCCCCGACUCCAGUAUUGGUCCUUCUCCACCACACCAGUGACCUAUAUAAUUGAAAAACCCAAAAUGCUCGGUUUUCUGAUAACCCUAGAGAUCUUAUAGCCCUCCUAGAGAGCAUAAUGUUCACCCACCAGCCUACCUGGGAUGACUGCCAACAGCUUUUGCGAAUCCUGUUCACCACGGAAGAAAGGGAGAGAAUUCAACUUGCGCGGAAGCUGGUCCCGGAAGAAGAUGGUCGACCCACUGUUAACCCUGACCUCAUUAAUGCAGCGUUUCCCCUGACUCGGCCUGAUUGGGACUACAACUCGGCAGAAGGUAGGGGACGACUGCUCAUUUAUCGCCAGACUCUAAUGGCGGGUCUCCGGGCUGCAGCACGCAAGCCCACCAAUUUGGCCAAGGUGUACUCGGCAAUACAAGGUAAGACAGAGAGCCCUGCCAACUUUUUAGAAAGAUUAAUGGAAGCCUUUAGGCAGUACACUCCCAUGGACCCUGAGGCCCCUGAAAAUCUGUCUUUUGUAAACCAGGCUGCCCCUGACAUCAAAAAGAAACUCCAAAAAUUAGAGGAUUUAGAAGGAAAACAGAUCCAAGAUUUACUCCGCAUUGCUCAGCGGGUAUAUAAUAAUAGGGACGCUCCAGAGGAUAAGCAGAAAACUCGCCCCCCAGGCGCCCCCUAGACAAAGACCAAUGCGCCUACUGUAAAGAAAAAGGACAUCGGAUUCGUGACUGUCCCAAAAAGAAGCAACUGCGCUCGGGGUCAGAGCCAUGGCAAACCAAAGCGGCCCCCAUCCUAUUUACCCAGAACUCAGGAAUUCCUGGGGUCUGCGGGAUUCUGCUGGUUGUGGAUCCCAGGUUUUGCUGAAAUGGCCAAACCCCUUUACGCAGUCUCUAAAAACCAACCAUCAUUUGAAUGGUCUGCAGAAGCUGAGCAGGCAUUCCAACAGAUAAAGAGAGCUCUCCUAUCGGCCCCAGCUCUAGGACUGCCCGAUAUCUCUAAGCCCUUCCACUUAUAUGUGGAUGAGCAUAAAGGCAUAGCCAAGACAGUGCUAACCCAGCAUCCAGGUCCGUGGCCCAGACCAGUGGCCUAUCUCUCAAAGAAAAAAAAAACUGGACCCUGUAGCCGCAGGAUGGCCCCCUUGUCUCCGGAUAAUAGUGGCUACAGCCCUAAUGGUUAAAGACGCCGAUAAGCUGUCCCUGGGUCAAGAGUUACAUGUCACCACACCCCACGCCAUCGAAGGAGUACUCAAGCAGCCCCCUGAUAGGUGGAUGAGCAAUGCUUGGAUGGUCCACUAUCAGGGACUCCUGUUAAAUCCCUUGCGGACCACAUACACCCCUCCCCAAACUCUAAACCCGGCCUCGCUGCUACCCGACCCUGACCUGGACUCCCCGCUCCAUGACGGUGCCGACAUCCUAGCGCAGAUCCAUGGAACAAGGAAAGAUCUACAGGACCGGCCAUUACCUGAUGCUGAGGUCACCUGGUUUACUGACGGAAGCAGCUUCGUCCAUCAAGGACAGAGGAAAUAACCUCGCUGACCAGACUGCACGCCAGGUAGCACAAAACCCCAUUCAAGUACUCCCUGUGCAGCUACCAGACCCAGGGCCCCGAGAUUUACCCCCAUAGCCUGAAUACUCAGAAGAUGAUCUUAUCUGGAUGCGCGAGUUCCCCAUGACCCAAGUUACAGACGGAUGGUGGAGGGACUCCAGAGACCGCCUUAUCCUUCCCGAAAAAUUGGGCCACGCAAUCCUGACAAAAAUACUCCAGAACGCGCACCCACACGCCACAGCCCAAGGCCACCGAAAAAGAGGAACCAUACCAGGAGCCCACUGGGAAGUGGACUUCACCGAGGUAAAGCCCGGCAAAUACGGCUAUAAAUACUUAGUGUUCGUAGACACUUUUUCAGGAUGGACUGAAGCCUUUCCAACCAAGAAGAAAACGGCACAGAUAGUAGCCAAAAAGAUCCUAGAAAAAAUCCUGCUCAGGUAUGGUUUUCCAGUCAUGAUAGGGUCAGACAAUGGACCUGCAUUCGUCUCUAAGGUAAGUCAGGGAUUGGCUUCCGUACUUGGGGCAGAUUAGAAAUUACAUUGUGCCUACCGGCCCCAAAGCUCAGGACAAGUAAAAAAAUAAAUAAAUAAAACAUUAAAAGAGACCCUUACUAAAUUGACUAUGGAGACUGGCGCUAAUUGGGUAGAGUUACUCCCCUACGCUCUGUACAGGGUUCGCAACUCCCCAUGCAAGUUGGGACUUACACCCUAUGAAAUCAUGUUUGGCCGACCCACACCUAUCAUACCUACCUCAUCAUACCUACCUCAUUCAAUUAGACCAAGAUAACAGCCUCUUGUCUUUUCUCAGGGCUCUACAGCGGGUUCAUGAGGCCGUGUGGCCUAAACUAAAAGAACUGUAUGAGACGGGGCCCCCACCCACUCCUCAUCAGUAUCGUCCAGGAGACUGGGUCCUCGUCAAGCAACACCGGCAGGAGAACCUUGAACCCAGGUGAAAAGGACCUUACCAAAUCAUCCUGACGACUCCCACCACCAUCAAGGUAGAUGACCUCCCCACCUGGAUUCACCACACCCACGUGAAGCCUGUCGACCCGCUAUCUGACCUCGUGGGACACACUGAUAAAAAUACUACUUGGACUGUAGACUGGAGUAAGAAAAACCCCCUCAAACUAACCUUGCGCCGUGCCUCCCCUAGACAUGUUCAAGAUAGUAACCCUUGUCCUACUAGCCCUCAACCUCAACCUCCUGGAGGUAGGACUAAAUGCCCCCGUUGACAAACAGAAAUUGUACAGAGCUCUGUAUGGAAGGCCCUGUGAUUGCAGAGGUGGCGUAGUUAGAACCCUUACCCUGCCACAUGGUAACAGACUAGUAGCUGGCUCUGUAGGAAGGGGUGGUCACUAUCAGCGAAGAUACACUCAAACCCAAGACUGUGGGACCACAAUUGCUCACUUAACCCAGACCUAUGACAUCACAGGACCCCCAAAACAGCAGUGGUUAUGUGUUGACAAACCUGAGCCCCUGCCCCCCACAGCAGAAUGCCCUUGCUCUACUUUCCAGGAGUCGAUGCAUAGCUCUUGUUAUGACUCCUAUCAGCAAUGUAUAGGGCCAGACAACUCCACUACCUACUUUACAGCUAUCCUACAGAGUAACAGGGCAGCAAAAGCUAGUGAUAAUAAUAUGCAACUUCAAGCCGGCUGCCGUGGCUCAGUUGGAGCCGCCGUCUGCUGGAACCCCCAUGCCCAUCCCUAGUUUAAACU